UGGAUGUGUGGAUAAAUUGUCCAUGGAGAAACCUGGGAAAUGGUUGCACCUUCUGACGUCCCACACUCUGGAGGCCAGAUUUGGGUCACUGGCGGCAUAUCUGAUUCUCCAAGACCGUUCUCACCUUUUCAUCUGCUGGCUGAAAAUCCUCAUUUCCUCCAGUGAGACAUCACAGGUUCCAUCGGAAGCAGCCCUGCUCAAACUGAGAAAGUAUUUUCCUCUCCUGUGGAUAAAUGUUUUAUAGAUGUGUUACCAAACAAACAACAAAACAAGGCAGUGUAACACAAUGCAAACAUGGAGAAACUCUGCCAUUUAUUCUAGCUCUUUAUGAUUUAUAGCUGUUUCUGAGAUCAGACCAUUCACCAAUGUCUCCUCCUUAUACCAUAACCCAGUAAACUCAUUUCCAGUAAAGCACCUACCCAUGCAAUUACCUGCUAGUAUGUGAUUAAAAGCUUGACGUUUAUUAGGAUACACAAUUUUAAA